CUUUGCGAAGCUGCUGCCUAAAUGAGUGAAAAAAAUAUUAAAAAACAAGUCAGAAGCCUACAUAAAGUCAUUUUUGUACUCUGAAGAAUAUAUUUUUGUUUUUUCCGACCUGUCUUUGCCUUGGUGACGUUGUGAACGUAACCGAACGGGACUUGGCCAUUAAGGUUUGGAUCGGGAAAUGCCGAGCUAGAAUCGGAGUUUGAUCCGCUGAGCGAGAAACAAGAUGGCGAGCCACCCAGAGACCCAUUGAACUGUACCGAGCAGGAAAA